CACUUUUUUCAGAUGAAAGAUCACAUCGCCUAUCUUUAGUUGGAAUCGCAUUCAUCCUCAGAUACCAGUGUCAUGAGGAAACCUGGCAACGUCAUGGAGAAAUCCAGCAAUAUCCUGAACCAGUCACUGCAAGGUCAUGAGGAAACAGAUUAAAAUAUUGAACCGGAGGGAUGGGAAGUUCACAGAAAACACUACGAUUUGUGGUACAGCCACCAAUUACUGGCAAGUUCACUACGAUUUGUGGUACAGCCACCAAUUACUG